UGAUGAACAUUUGAAGAGCUCGUAAUUGAACUAAUUUGAUUAUUUGGACAUGUCGGAUUUGUCUAUUUGAAUUUCUAAAUUAGUUGUGGAUUUAUUGGAAUUUUUGUUAAUCAUAGGCCUUGCAUGAUCUUUAGGGCACUGCUCUAGGGCUCAUGCGGCCGGUCGCGUACCGGACCCGGGAGCUGGGUUUGGGGCGUGACAGAGUGGUAUCAGAGCUUAAGGUUAAGAUAUCCUGAGGUUUAGGUUCAGGUGAGUGUGAGUGGGGAAUUAUGAUAGAAAAACUAUCAGAGCCUUGGUUUAUAAUCACCUGAGAUUGUAACAGGAAUGAUAUUAUAAUCUACGGUUUAAGACCACUAGGGACUGUAGCCUUAGUGGCAUUAGAGUUUGACGUUUAAGAUCAUUAGGAAUUGUGAUAGAAAAAUAUCAUAGCUUAAGGUUAUGAUCAUUUGGGACGUGACAAUUAAAUUCGGUGCUUAGGGUGUAAGAUCACUGGGCAUAGUGAUAAAAUGUAUGCAUCGGGUUUGGUUUUCGAUGAGUGUGGAAGGAAAGUAUAAAUUGUCUUUGAUCAUGAUUAAAAAAAAAGAGGUUUGACCUAAGAUAA
rnacentral:lncRNA from 1 species